rnacentral:rRNA from 1 species
UACGGGGGGGGCAAGCGUUGUUCGGAAUUACUGGGCGUAAAGGGCUCGUAGGUGGCCAACUAAGUCAGACGUGAAAUCCCUCAGCUUAACUGGGGAACUGCGUCUGAUACUGGAUGGCUUGAGUUUGGGAGAGGGAUGCGGAAUUCCAGGUGUAGCGGUGAAAUGCGUAGAUAUCUGGAGGAACACCGGUGGCGAAGGCGGCAUCCUGGACCAAUACUGACACUGAGGAGCGAAAGCCAGGGGAGCAAACGGGG